AUCUUUGAACGCACAUUGCGCCCCUUGGUAUUCCAUGGGGCAUGCCUGUUCGAGCGUCAUUUGUACCUUCAAGCUCUGCUUGGUGUUGGGUGGUUGUCUCGCCUCUGCGUGUAGACUCGCCUUAAAACAAUUGGCAGCCGGCGUAUUGAUUUCGGAGC
rnacentral:rRNA from 1 species